AUUGAACGCUGGCGGCAGGCCUAACACAUGCAAGUCGAACGAGUGGCGGACGGGUGAGUAAUGUCUGGGAAACUGCCUGAUGGAGGGGGAUAACUACUGGAAACGGUAGCUAAUACCGCAUACCAUCGGAUGUGCCCAGAUGGGAUUAGCGAGUAGGUGGGGUAACGGCUCACCAAGGCGACGAUCCCUAGCUGGUCUGAGAGGAUGACCAUCCACACUGGAACUGAGACACGGUCCAGACUCCUACGGGAGGCAGCAGGGGGGAAUAUUGCACAAUGGGCGCAAGCCUGAUGCAGCCAUGCCGCGUGUGUGAUGAAGGCCUUCGGGUUGUAAAGCACUUUCAGCGGGGAGGCGUUACCCGCAGAAGAAGCACCGGCUAACUCCGUGCCAGCAGCCGCGGUAAUAC
rnacentral:rRNA from 1 species